rnacentral:ncRNA from 1 species
CAACAUUCAUUGAUAAGGAAAGUAAACUUGAAAGACUUUUUAGAGAGACUCUGAUUGGUGGAAAGAGUUAAGUGUGCAAAGUUGAAAAUGGCCUUGGAGGAUAAUUUGUCGAUACGUAGGCAAAUUCGGUUUCGUUCAACCGUUAAAAAGAACCCCAAUCUCUCUUAGUUGAGACGUUGGAUAGAGGGAAGGAAACUUCCGAAUAAAGGUGGUACCACGAUUUAUCGUCCUUUUA